CUCAAUGCCCAGCUCUCCCCUUGACAGCCCAGCAGGCUCCCUGAGCCAGGCAGGUGUGGGCAAAGGCACCGUCUGAGCUCCACGUGCGUAAACCUGCUUGGCAGGGGCUGCAAAACCCUAUAUUCUGAAAUGGGGCCAACCCAUUACCAGUGCUCAGUAAUGCAGUGGAUUUCUCCAGUGGUGAUUCGGGGUUCCAUUACUGUGUUUAUUUUACUGAAGAUGAACCUGAGGCCCAGAAAGAUUAAGCAACUUGCUCGAAGUCACAAAAUUCGACAAUCAUUGCCUAAAAAUCCCCCUUGCUGUUAGAAGGCUGAAGCAGCCACUCCUUCAGAGACCAACGCACCUGCGAUUGUUCUGCUUCCUUCUGCCACACAGGCCAUUGUGCAACAUCUGGAUAAGUAGCUACAACACAGCGCCUUUUCCUGUCUUGGGGCUCAGCCUCCCAUGGACCGUGGGGUCAAGUGUUGCUUAAUUCCAUGGCCUCCUCUGCUGUCUCUUCAAUCAGUGCUGUCAUUUCCCCAGUUGGAGCGUUGAUGACUAGUCUGGACAAUAGGUUUGCUAUAAGUGAGUCUUUGCCUGGGGUAUAGAUUACUCGUAAAUCAUAUCUUUAUAACAGUAAUAACAUUCCCUGUCGUCUAGCAGGUGCGUGGCCUGGUGGUUUGUGAUCUGUCUGGAUAGUCAGGCUUCUGCCAAAUGCAUAUUUGUGGAACUCUCGUAGUGCAUGUAUCAUUGCCAACUUUUUUUUCUUUCUUGCUCAAACAGACUUUGUUUUUUUCAGCCAAAGCCAGCAUUAGAGAUGUGCACGUGACUACUGAACAAUCCAAUUGCUUGGUGAGAAUCUCACUAUAGGUUCUCAAUGGCCUUGUACCUUCCUUAUCAGACAGUUAUUCCACAGUGUUAAAGAACUUUAAAUGAAAGAGGAAAGGAACUCAAAUUUGCGAGGUACCUGCAAUGUGCCAAUCACUGUGCUAGCUGUCUCACCCAGAAUAUUUUAACACUUUAACUGCCAUGAGAGUUGUAGUUAACUCACUCUAAUGUUGACCCCGGGCUAUGUGAAGCAUAUAUAAAAUCUUACUUGUUAGUGUUCUUAUUGUUACAAUUAAU